rnacentral:lncRNA from 1 species
CCGGGAGAGGACCUCCGAAAAUUUCCUCUCGUCUCGCGUGCACUUUUUUGUCUCAUUUGUGGAAAGUCAAUACAAUUUGCAAGGCCGUGGCCGAGCUCACCUCUGCUGUUUUAAUAAACCGCCUAAUAACUUCCAUCUCCAGAGUGAUGGAUGGACUCCGGGAUAAACUUUCUCCUGUCCAACGGCCUGACUGCAACUCGCUGUCCGCAUCAGCACAAAUUUCAUCCCAGUGAUGACCGCCCUGGAUGCGCGGAGGUGGGCUGGAUGUGUCGACACAAGAAAAUUUCAACUUCAAGUGCCUUCGUGACGUGUGGAGCGUCACCAGGUCGCAAGCUCUUUCUGUUUCAUAAUGUUUGGGGGAAAAUGAACUGAACUUGAAAAAAAUGAACAUUUGAACAUUUUCCUGCUUUGGCCAAACCAAUGUGAACUAGAACUCAAAAGGACAGAUAGGCCUAAUGUGUUUUAGAAUUACUGUGUGGACCUGUGUAAACUUUUGUGGAGUCAUGCUGCUCAAACUUCGCAAAAAAGGAGAAAAUUGGCUGAGGUAAGUCUUCGAAACUGAGGUGAGUAAACCAUCAUUUCCCUUACUUCAGAAAUGAAAUGUUAAUAAACGAAUGGAAGUGUGUUUGACAUCAAUCAUGUAGCCUAGGGCUUAAACACAAUGAUUACGGUUAGCCUGUGUCACUUUAUUUGACUCGACUGUGAAUGCUUAAAGCCUAGUACAUAUACACAUUUGAAUAAAAACACCGUAGUAAUGGUUAAAUUCUACUUUUAAACUGGAAGGAAUGAUAGGGUUUGGGGGUAGCCAUUUCAUCCUUACUAAUACUUAGCGAAGAAGAAAUCGCAUGUUGUCCGUUUCACUGAAUGCGUCUCAACGUUUUUUCCCCGGCCCUGUUAAUUUGCAUGAGAAUGAGUAUGGCACGUGUGACAUUAUGUUCUCGCGUGCCAAUAAAACAGUGAGCGUGGCUUUGGGUUCCGUUAAUCCCAUCAUUGUCUGAAAACUUGCUGCAUGAAAGGCAUUAGAAUGCGGUUACUUGCCCAGGUGUUGGUGUCUGAUUGCUGACUUAUUGCAAAUCUUCCGGGCUGCAAAAGACCGCAAGUCUGACAGAGUUUGUAAACAUGUUCGCCACCACAGAGAACUCCUUUACGUAAGCAAUAUAAUCAUUUAUUAUAAUUGGAAUUAUGAUUUUCCUCCAGCUGCGAUUAUUGUAAAUUACAUGCAGACUGAACUCUUUGGAAAUUUCCAGAUUUUAUCUAGUUAUCUUGGUCUAAGUUGUAGAUUUUUUAACGUACUUACUGCGGUGGUAUUCCAGAGGAAAUUUUAAAAAUACUUGUAAUAGUUGUUUGAUUGUUGCCAUUACAAAUGCCACACAACUUUACACCAGUAAUUUCAGGUAACAGAUCUUUACGUUAGCUAAAUGGAUCAAUGCUUGGUGCUAACAAGGCCGGAAUUACCUUUGAACAUAAUCAGAUUAGGGCGAUGGGGCAAUGUGCUAUAAUAACCCCAAAUAUUACUGAAAGUUUACGUGUGACGGUGGUGUGCAUCGUCGCAAGAUUCUUCAACCACGAUUUCUGCAAAACGCUGAUGGGAUAAAUAACAAUAAGAUGAAUAUCAUGGACACUUUUGUGGCCUUUCAAGUGAAUAUGAAUAUAUUUUAAGUGAACACAAUUAGAAAUCACAGAUUCGGUAUAAUGUCAAAUACAAUAUUGCAACUUGGGUUAAGUGUUUUGGGGGUAGGUAGGGAUGCAAAUGCAGGAGCGGCAGCCGCAGCGUGAAACAGCGAGUUACUGUGUGUGUUUUUGUAACCAUCAGUGUGAGUCCGUGUGGUAGGCUAGGCUUAGUUAGGCCCAACUCGGAGUUCGUUAGAAAUCUGCCUGCGUUUUAUCCUCGCCGAACUCGCAAAUCUGAGGUCUGGUAUGAAUGUCAAAGCGGGUCGGGUCAAGUAAAAUCCAAGGUUAGUGAAGAAGAUUCAAGGUAAUGGGCGAAUCGUCUGCGGUCAAAAGGUCGGACAAAAUGUCCCUACGUAGCUAUCAUGUAUACUCGCGCGAGGAAUGGUAAUCAUAGUAUACCUUGGUAUUAGUGUAGGGAACAAAGUUGAGAAUGUGAGUGAGAAGGAAUACGUGAAGGUGAAAUCAGUGAGCAAAAGCAGCUGGCUGCAAGCACGCGCACACCUUGCGCGCUCAAGCAGCGCCACUUCAAUGGGUCGGAGGGUCUAAAAGAUUUCGUUGGGCAGAUUUUAACCUGUCGCCUCUCCAAACAUGCAUCUUUCACAAACAGUGAUCAGGUUGCGUUCAUUUUAAUUUAAGAUAUAUUUCUAUGAUUCAGACGGACUCUAACAAUCAUGAAGGGGAAAUAUUAACCAAGGUUUCAACAUUACAUUUCAGUUAGUAUAAUGGAAAAUGCUUUAGUCAAGAGAAAGAAGCCUCAUGACAUAGCACACUUAGGUACUAAAAGUUUUGUAGACAGUGAACGCGUAAAUUUGCAAUGGUGGAAUCAAUGAUCAUAAUGUGUGAAGUCAAUGCUAUGUGCAGUGACGAAGGGUUAUUCUAUAUAUACAUGAAUGAAAGUACUAGUGUAAAGUUUUCUCGGUUCUGAAAUGUAUCCCAAUCAUUUGAAUCCAGUUUUCUCACUUGUUAUAGUAAUUAUUACUGGAUGAUUCUCAAAAAAUACAAACAUAUCCACUGGAAUACCACCCGCUGUUGGCCAAGUAGACUGAAAUUUAAAUUAUUGCUGACUGACGAAAGCAAGUUACAGCUUAUUCCAUUAUAACUGUAUAAGAAAGGCACUUGAAGUCGAAUGCUACCGGUACAUACUCGAUCAUAAAUGAUUAUCAGUUGAAUGACAGGAUUCUCCAAGGAACAAGGAAAUUUGAACAGACUAUACGAUUUAAGUGGCAGGCUCACUUCUACACUAUCUGGAAAAAAUAUUAUUGUGUAAAAAUUAACCACAGCGAAAGUGACUCUAAGACACUGUUACUGGCAGUCUCUGGCCAACGAGCUUUGUUAUAUCCUUGAAAGAAAUUACAGCCCGAAAGAGGAACAGCUUUAAAUUGGAUAAAAUUACCGACAAUGCCUGGAGUUUUGUUCGAAAUCUUUAUGACGUCCCGCGCAAUCAGCUAGAAAACAUUACAAAAGUUAAGUUCGUUAUAGUUGUUUAACUUGUUCAACAGCUUCUUUAACAUUAGAUUGUUUGCUCUAUGCAUGAAAUUACAACUGUAAAUAGGAGAGCCUUCAGGAACAUUUGUGGCAAUGCCUGGAGCGUUGCCGACUUUCUUCGAAAAGCAGACACAUUUAUUUCAUUAUAACUGUAUAAAAUCCUCAUCAGUAUCGAUUAUAUUAAGCAAUGAAGCUCAUUAUUGCAGACAAUGGCCGGUACUUUGUCUGUCACACCGACUAUGAUAGGUCGUAAGAUCUCACUAGAGAAGACAGUGUUAAUGUGAACAACGAAGAGUAAAUUUCAGCUUCAGAAAGUGAUAGUGCUUGGCUCGUUGCCACUGAGUCUCUUGAUCAAGCUUGGUGAUAUUUCUAAGAGGCCCCUUCCUGCUGAAAACGGAGGCAACACUUUUAACAUUUAUAUUAGUUUCUUUAAUCGAACAUUAAUUAUUAAACACGUCAACACCUUAUUUUAGAUAUAUUAAAGGAGUUCUCUGUAGACGUACUGGAGCAAAAGAAGCAGAGAAAAAUCUCUCGACGAAAUAAUGAUUAAAAUCUGGGAUUAGCGCCGCCUGUACAAGCACCGCAAAUAAUUCAAACCAAUUAACGAAAUAAUGAAAUCUACAUGGAAUAGAUUCAGAUUCACUAAUAUAUUUGAACGAUUAACAUCAUGUUUACCAGCAGCGAGUAUGGUGACAAUAGCCAAAAUGAUAAACUUUGUUCAUUAUAACUGUAUAAAUGGUUUCAAAAUCGAUGGCUUAAGGUUGAUGUAGGCCCAUAAUAUCCCCAUUGUUUAAAAAACCUGUUACAAGUCAUCAAGGAAUAACUUUUUAAGGUAGAUACCACUUGCAACGUCUGGUGCGUUGUCCAGUUUCUACAGAAAAAAAAACACAAUUUGUUUUAAUCGCCAUCAACGAGUAUUGUGAAGUUAUAAUUGUAUAAGAUGUUAACAUCUGAAUCACCACCUGUACUGCAAUUCUGUUCAUAAUCUGCAAUAGAUGUCAGUUUUCGGUUUUCCAAGUAAUAUUUUUCUCGUGUUUUAUUCACCAUGACCAAUCAUUAAGUUGGUUACAAUUGUAUAAGCUUUCAAUAUCUAAGCCACCAGCGGUAUUGUAAUUCGGUAAAAAAAACUGUAUUGGAGUCGGAGACAGGGCCUGGUUUGUGAUCCAGUUUCCAUAGAAGAUCUUGUUUUAUUCACAAUGAUCAAUGUAAGUUAGUCACAAUUUUGUAAACUUUAAUUCAUUAAUAUCAGCACCAUCAACUUCCAUAUAGUCAGUCUAUACAAAUCUAUUACGAGCGUAAGUGACAAUACUUGGUCUUGCACGUUGUCCGGUUCAUGUACAUGUAUUCCCUGAAACUGUAGGCCUACUGCUUUACAACAGAUUACAUCCUGUGUGUUCACUUGAAUAUAAUUUAAGAUUUUAACACGAAUUUGUAUAGAUUUUGUAGGGAAGUGAAGUUUGUCAGUGUAACGGUAAAAAGAAAAAGGUAAACUAUUUCAUGUCAUGAAAUAUUUGGUGUGGAAUAUUGAAAAGAUUAACGCUAAAUUGUAAAUAUUUCUUGAAGUGCAUUUUCACUUGUUACCACUCUGUGGUCCUGAUUGUGUGGCGUUACUAUUUCAACCCUUGUUCCCGAAGACUUCCAUGACUGAAACAGGAAAAAUAACUAGUACGGCGCCGACAGAAGUAAUUCUUGAAAAUGAGGUUACCUUUUUUCCAAUCCGCAACAGGAGAACGGAAACGACAAAAAUGACAGAAAAACAAACCACCUCGACCGUUACUCUCGCAUAAAAUCAUUUCUGACGUCGGAAUUACUUUUCGCGAACGUUCAUACUCGGUCACAAUAACGACGAAAAUUAUGAAAGGAUUACGUACCGAAAAGUGACAAAAGUCGCUGCAAAAAACUAACGAAAAAUUGAAGCGAUAACGAGUCUCUGAAAAAUUGGUGGUAACACCAAGAAAAAUUAAACAAAAUCAAAUGGGAGUAUCGAAGUAUAUGGUGAAAAUCAUUGCGAUGAUAUUGAAAGGAAUAGACUUUGAAAUCAGCGUUCUUUUCCGAGAACUUGAACACAUCUAUGAAACCUUCGACCAGAAUAUAUAAAAACCGGUUAUUACUGCCAAAAUAAAAUUAUACAAUCAGUGAUGAUGAAAGAAGUAACUCUUGAAAUCAGAAUUCCUUUUUUUCUCAGAACUGCGACACCACGGAAAAAAGACAAAAUCAAAAACGACGAUUAUUGCCUGGAAAAUCCACGAAAACAUACGAAAAUUGCAUCCGAGUUCAAAUAAGCGACCUUCGCGAUCUCCAAAACAUACGGUGACGAAAGUGAACAUUAUUUGAACGUUUCAAAGCGACGGGUAAAUAACGAAAAUUUCGUCAAAACUAAAAUCGCUAAAAAUCACGGCUUCGGUAUUGAAUUUAAUUUCAGAAAUCAGCGUUCGAAUUCUGAAACAUCUUCAAAAAUCGAUAGCAAAAAUUACGAAAAAAAAUGAAACACGAAGAUAAUGAGUACAGAUGCGAAUUUUCAAACCGCGUAAAACGACGUAAACGACGAAAAUUAUCGGGUAGCGCGAAAAAAGAUAACUUUGUUAAAAUAAAAAAUGAAAGCAGCAAUGAGUCUUCAAAAUUCGAUGACAAAAAUAAUCGACCGAAUUUAAACAGAAAUUGUAAAAUAGCUAUCAUAUGACAGUGGUGAAAGAAGUAAUUCUCGACAACAGACUUACAUUUUCUCUUGAUGUUUUUUCCCAGUAGACUAUCAUUUCAGUUUUAAAGUCAAAAGACAGUUAAUGUCAUCCUUACUUAUUACACAGUGGAAAGAUCUCCAACUAAAUCUGCAUUACCUUAAAAAGACGAAGUCAGUCUGUAAACUGUCUCGCAAGUAAACUUCUGUGUUAGUGCCAUCCGAGUAACAUCGGUAUAUAGGCGGAUGGCUUAAGCGCUGGUAAUUGUGACAUUUGUCAGAUUAUUGUAGCCAGUAAGUGUUCAUCUUCCUCGACUGUGAACAUAAGACCGAUCUUGGAAAGAUUGGCUGGACAUGUACAUUGUAUCACUUUCGAAGUUACAUCUUUGAAAGUAUCAGGUGCUAACUACUAGGCCUAUACUGUGAGAAACCUUAGGUCGGAGGCAAAAUCUGUAAGGGUGAACGAUCUUCUUAAUUUUGCCUGACGCGGUUGCAAUUUGUCUUGGUCGUUAGACCUUGGUUGAUAAUGUAAGUCCGAUUUUUAUACAUCGGCAUUGGCGAACAUUUUCUUUUGUAUCACUCUAUGUAAGUCUGACCGGUUAUCAGAUCGGCUUGGGCUAUUUUCAUCUUGUAAGGUAUUUAUACAACGUGAAGCUUUUUUUAACUGAACAGUGAGUCCGGUUGCAAAAUCGGCAACUUGUAAGUCCGAAAAGCUUCGGCGAAAGUGAAAAUUGGUUUAAUUUGUUGUUAUCGCAGCUAGAAGAUAAUCUUUGACAAAAUAAGUAGGUCCGGUGGCAAAGACCGGCAUUUUGCAAUCUUCGUUUUAAGUCUGAUCUGUAAGAAUCAGCAUGGGAAGUGAUGGGAAUUUUUUCCCCGAGUGAUUAUGACUUUCGCCAGUAUUUUCUGUGCUCACGAAGCGUUAUAACACCCACCCUCUCCCAACAGGUUCCUUUUGGUUAAAGUAGACUAUUAUAACUCAAUUCUUCAAUGCUUUUAACCAGCAUGGCUGAUAGUCUCAUGCAGUCCUAGUUGAAUGGCCAUGUAAAGGUAUCUCGCUUUUCGAAUUGAUUACUCAUAAGUUAUCAAACAGUAUUCCCACUGGUAUUUGUGAGCUGAGAACAACGUUUGCUUUCCAUAAAGCCACUCUUCACAAGUCACAGGUAAGCCUUUCACUUGUAGCUUAUUUAAUGCUCUUGAAUAUUUCACGGAAAUAUGAUAUACCUAUAUGAUACGUAUAGAUAUUGUGAUAGACCUAGCUAGGGUAGGCCUAGGGCUUCUGUUCCCCUUGUGUCCUAGACCAAGAUGCACCGCUCCCACCAGUGAAGAAGAGAACCUACAAGCCCAAAUAAGACUGGAUGCAUGUCGACCCCCCCCCAUCAGGAUAAGGAUGGACUGCUUCUCAGACAGGAACCAUAAGCAGAGAGGAGGACCAACAGAUGACUGAUGACCCUGCUUGCUGAGGGUGUCAUCAAAGGACCUUAAAGUCGGGUUGCUGUACUCAGACAAGAAGAAUGGCUGUUCAUUAAGCAUGCAAUUACUCUUGGGGAAUUGCACAUGGCCUGGAUUCAACAAGCCUAGAAGUCUCUGAAGCUCCUUCGCUGAACCGGCAACUGGAAGGUUGCUAUGCCUGUAUUACAAAUUCCUGAGAGAACAAGCCUGGAAGACCAAGACUGGCAAGAUGAAGAGGAGGCAAUUUCCUGUGAUGGAGGACAACAAGAUGACUGUGACAUUGAUAACCAAGGAACUGCAUGGAAGUAGGGAGGAGGACUAACAGGUGACUAGGAUGAGAAGGAUCAACAGGAUGAGGAUGACUCUGCUUUCUGAGCAUUCCACUACUUAUUCUUCCGAAGACAGGCCAGCUGUUUGACCUUGACUGGUCGAGUAACAAAGAGGCCAUUGGAGAAAGAUGAGAAGAUGACAUUUCUCACCAUCAGUGAUGAAACUAGGGGAAUGGUGGCAGGGAGGAGGACUGACUGAGGACGAUGACCCUGCUUGCUGAGCAUACCGUGAUUUUUUCUCCUAGAAGUUGAGGACCAUCAAGCCUUACUGAGACUGGCUUGAUUAGGAACACGCUUGGACAUUUUCUGCACUUACAUGUACAUCCUGUACCUCCAUAAAUGUAACAAAAGGCCAGCCUGUUGGCCCCUGACGUGAGAAGAUAAAUCCAAGAGAAUAUGAAUGUUGUUAUAUUUUUGUGUAGUGCUGCUGUUUUUCAGUGUUGAUGAAAAAUAAUGUCAAUGUCAAAAACUUGUGAAAAAUGGUUAAGUAUGAGUUGUGUUUGCACAGUCACUUAGGUACAUUCCCUGAAACAAUUUUUUAAAAUAAAAGAUGAUUUAUUAACUCCAAAUUUACUCGAAUCCCCGCUGAAAAGGACUGUUGAUGACAAAGUUGGAUCUUUUUGGUAUGUCCUGAAAAUUGGUUAAAGCAAAGAUAAAUGGCUCUCAGUGGUAUUCUGGAAACAGCUCAAAUUGGGAAUUAAAACUCCCAUGACCAAAAAGAAAAGAGAAAAAGCAGGUUUUAUGCCAUUGUUGAUUAGAUUUGACAUAAAAUAAACUUCAACAUUGGGGUCAAAGUGAGGGUGUGUAUUGACAUACACCAGCAUCAAGGUUGGCCAUGUUUAUUACAAAAUCAUCUUAGUUUUGUGGCAGUUGUAGUUUAUCUCAGCGAUUAUUUCACUCCAAAAAAGAAAUGGCUCCUACAUUUAUAGUACAUUUUAAAGUUUCAAAAAAUGAAGAAAACUAAAGAGUUUUGUUUUCCAUUUUUCAAGAAAGUGAAAGCACAAAAGCAUUGUCACAGAGCUUUUGUUGAACCGGUAUCUAAUAUUUUUCUUGCCGAAAUUGUGAUGAAAUAAAAUUCUUUGAAUAAAUGUAAUAAAUUUAAUGAAAUUUAAUACAUGUAAGACAAGAAGGAUUGAUGGUACCCUCAAAACGUCGGGAUUUUCCUGUGGUGAAUGUGCAGGUUAAAGGACCUAUGGCCCUUUUCAGUAUUGACUGAAUAGAGAAGAUUUAUGAGCCAAAUUUCCUGUAAACAAAAAUAUUAGUGAAAAUUUUGUAGGCUGUGGACUAGAGCAAAGGUCCCUUCCACAUAGAAACACAACUACCCAACUGUUUUACUAAGUUAUUAAACUCCUAAUUGAUAAUUCUUAAUUGUCUGUAACAAAUUCUGCCUGAAACUGCAUAGACGUAAGGACAUCCAUAUUUCACUGUGUUUAUCAUUCUGUGUUUUUUGCAUGGACUCACCUCUUUGUUUUGUUUUGUUUUAACUUUAUGAAAGUUGGUAUUUGUGCACUUUGGUGUUUUCUGUUCAGAUAAUUCUGCCUCACCCACCCUAUUGCUUUCAUACUAACCAAACAGAUAAGCACAGUGUAUGCUGGAUGUUGCAAAUAAAGGUGCAGACCUGAUUUACAAAACUGUUGAAAAUAAAACUGGCCAGCACAAUAAUUUUAAGAGGUUGGGAUCUUCCUGUAGCCUACCUUCUCAAGCACUGUUUUACUAAUGCUUUCCCUCCCGGAGAAACGGACAAGUCUCACAAAACUAAAGUGGUUACACCUUCAUAUCCACCAUUUCUACUGUAGUUUUGAAAAAAUGGUUUCAAACAAAUCAAAAUUUUGAAAAAGUUCUCAAAGCAAUGAUAAUAAUGCAUGUUAUCAACAGCAAGCACCAUCAGUCCUUUGUAACCUGCUUUAAUUAUAAAAGCAGCUUAUUCCUUGAAUCAGUUAUGCUCAAGGAUCUACUCUUUUUACGUCACAGUUGUUUUGCCUACGAGUGGCUGCUAAAAUUAUGGCUGGCCAUCAAUGCGAAAGUAAAAGAAUAAUUCCAAUCCCAAAUAGCUAUCAGAACACCAGAUAGUAAUACACAUAUUACUUAAUAAUAAAUGAAAAUGAAACCCUCUUUAAAAUUAAUGGGACAAAUGUAUCUUUUGAACGAAAUUGAUUGAAAACUAAAGGGUGUUUUUCUUUCUGUAAACUUUGGCCGCCCAUACAUAUUGUAGAAUGAGAGUGGUCUAUCAACUCACUACAAAAUGUUUGGAAAUUAGCUACCAGUUUGAUAGCAGGAUUUGCCUUUGACAACUUUGAUAUAAAAGUCUGCAAAACCCUUUAAAAGAUCUUUUCCCUUAGUUUUGCGUUUUAUGGCAAAAAUUGUAAACUAUGUAAAAAAAGUAUGAGAAUGAUGUAGGUCAAAAGAAAUCAUAAUUUCAUAAUAAUUUCAUAAGUAUAUAUAUUGUACAAUGGACUAUAUUCCUAAAAAAGGCAUUUUUUUAUCUUGAACCUCAAAUCUUGUUUUAAUAAAAUAUUAACUAAUUAAGGUACUGGUAAUCGACUAUUUUGUGGAUUCCUGUUGGCCUCAUUUCCCUUGAAUUUAUUUUCAAAACCUGGCAUAAAAGUCUAACAAAGGUAUGUUUCAUCACAUAUGUGAAUUUAUGUAUGUGAAAAUGUUAAUUUUUAAUUUAUAAUUUUACUGAUUCCCUUCAAAAAUUAAUACAAACCUAGCUUUUAAUUUAAAUAUGGGUGACUCCAGAAUAUUGUCCAUUGCAAAUGUUGAGUUAUUAGUUUCUUCAUUCUCAACCUAAUUUCAGUUUUGCAAUUCAUUAUGUUUACUGUAUAACUAAUUAAUAGAUUAUAAAAAUUUUUAUACGGUGCCACUGUCUCUUUUGUAACAAAAAAUGAUCAGUUAUCUAAUGAGCACAGAAGCAAUAAAGUCAAUCACACACGUGAAAUCCGAGCCCUUACCUCACUAUAGUUGAGCUGCAACCCGACUACAAAGCCAAUUUCCAAGCGAUGGGAGAAUAAAGACCAUUAUUUACAUUUCUGAAU